rnacentral:misc_RNA from 1 species
UUUCCGUAGGUGAACCUGCGGAAGGAUCAUUAAUGAGUUGUCAUGGGGUUCGAUGCUGGCAGCCAGUUUUUGGACGCAUGUGCUUGCCCUAACAAUCAUCUUCUUCCAAACACCUGUGCACAUUUUUGAGGGAGUCUUGAGUUGGUUGCCGCUCUUGGGUGAUUUUCUCACAUUCCCUUAAAUCAUUAUACGCUAUUAACAAUGUUGAACGUGCUCUGUGUCGCAAGGCCAUUAAUAUAAUACAACUUUUAACAACGGAUCUCUUGGCUCUC